rnacentral:rRNA from 1 species
GAUGAACGCUGGCGGCGUGCCUAAUACAUGCAAGUCGAGCGAACAGACGAGGAGCUUGCUCCUCUGACGUUAGCGGCGGACGGGUGAGUAACACGUGGAUAACCUACCUAUAAGACUGGGAUAACUUCGGGAAACCGGAGAUAAUAACGGAUAAUAUAUUGAACCGCAUGGUUCAAUAGUGAAAGACGGUUUUGCUGUCACUUAUAGAUGGUUCCGCGCCGCAUUAGCUAGUUGGUAAGGUAACGGCUUACCAAGGCGACGAUGCGUAGCCGACCUGAGAGGAUGAUCGGCCACACUGGAACUGAGACACGGUCCAGACUCCUACGGGAGGCAGCAGUAGGGAAUCUUCCGCAAUGGGCGAAAGCCUGACGGAGCAACGCCGCGUGAGUGAUGAAGGUCUUCGGAUCGUAAAACUCUGUUAUUAGGGAAGAACAAAUGUGUAAGUAACUAUGCACGUCUUGACGGUACCUAAUCAGAAAGCCACGGCUAACUACGUG